rfam:Vigna radiata var. radiata cultivar VC1973A scaffold_419, whole genome shotgun sequence
AAGAGAGUGAAGGAGCUUCCUUCAGCCCACGUAUGGGUAUGAGGGACUAAAGGGGAUCUCAAGUAUCUGCUGACUCAUUCAUACACACACAGUAGGGGUUUAUAUAAAGCCAUUUUCUACUGUAAUUGUGUGAAUGAAGCAGGAGAUAUUUUGCAUCCCUCUUACUCUGUGCUUGGACUGAAGGGGAGCUCCUUCUUUCUGUUGU